UACGGAGGGGGCAAGCGUUGUCCGGAUUUAUUGGGCGUAAAGAGCGUGUAGGCGGCUUUCCAGGUCCGUUGUGAAAACUCGAGGCUCAACCUCGAGACGCCGGUGGAAACCGUAAGGCUAGAGUCCGGAAGAGGAGAGUGGAAUUCCUGGUGUAGCGGUGAAAUGCGCAGAUAUCAGGAAGAACACCCGUGGCGAAGGCGGCUCUCUGGGACGGUACUGACGCUGAGACGCGAAAGCGUGGGGAGCGAACAGG
rnacentral:rRNA from 1 species